CAGCACCUCAAGUGGUCAGGAUGAUUAUUGGGCCUAAAGCAUCCGUAGCCGGCGCUGUAAGUUUUCGGUUAAAUCUGUACGCUCAACGUACAGGCUGCCGGGAAUACUGCAGCGCUAGGGAGUGGGAGAGGUAGACGGUACUCGGUAGGAAGGGGUAAAAUCCUUUGAUCUAUUGAUGACCGCCUGUGGCGAAGGCGGUCUACCAGAACACGUCCGACGGUGAGGGAUGAAAGCUGGGGGAGCAAACCGGAUUAGAUACCCGAGUAGUCC
rnacentral:rRNA from 1 species